UCCUUGCUCCAGUGGCAGCCAAGUAGCUUUGAUUUCCCAGUUCUGAGCCAUCAUGGAAGGGUGGAGACCUCGUUUCUACUUUAAUUGCAUCCAGGGCACUCAGUGGGACCCCACUUAACAUUUCUGCCCACUGGACUCUGAACUGUUGAGAAUACAGAAUUGGUCCCACUACUUUUGAAUGAGGCUGCAGAGAUGCCCUGGAUCCAGCUAUGCCAGACCUCAACUGUCAUGAUCAGUCCCAAGCAACAGGGAGACC